CCAAGGGCCAAGGCAGGGCACUGCACUGCACGCAUGCACUGACCUGACGGCGACCCGGGGCCAAGGUGCGGCGACGGCGAGGACGAUGGUGGGGAGUGGUCGCCGACGCCGAGGCUCGCGAGGGGCCACCGUUUCUAGCUAGCUAUGCUAUGCUAGCCAUAGCCAGCGGGGACUGGUUUCUAGCGCGCAGCAGGGAGCUACGUACGUGUCUUUUAUUUUGUGACGCUGAUCCAUCGGUCAGCCUGUGCUGAUUGACGCGACCGCUACCUAGCUAGCUUCGUUCGUGGUGUGUCCUCUCGUGACCCACGAGAGUGGAGUAGAAUAAUCAUGCAUUGUUGUAUGCAACGUGCUUAGCAGCUUCGUGGUUCGUGCGUGUGCCCUCUCGUGACACACGCGUUGAGUAAAAAUAACGUGGAUGGAUCAGCCUACUGCUCCUAGCCAGGCUGCUAGCUAGCUAGCAGCUGGGAGUAGCUGCGUGCCCUUGCUGAUCUCGUGUCUCUGUCAGACCUGUUGUAAAAUCUAGUUGUACUGUGUUAUAAAUUGUAAUCUAGUUGUACUGUGUGCUAUCCUGAU
rnacentral:lncRNA from 7 species